rnacentral:tRNA from 1 species
GGCGCGUUGGUCCAGUGGGACGGACACCGGCUUCUCACGCCGGAGACACCGGUUCGACCCCGGUACGCGUCG